GGGAUUAUGGCUCAAUGGUAGAGCACGUGCCUAGCACACAUGAGACACUGGGUUCAAUCCUCAGCACCA
rfam:Ictidomys tridecemlineatus contig039479, whole genome shotgun sequence.